UGUCCCUCUUCUCUUGCAUUUCAACACACAAUACGCGGGUGUGUGUUCCAUAUAUAAAAUAUAUAAAUACGUACAAUGUACAGUGUAGUACUAAGCAUCUUCUGCUACUGAGUACAGUUGGUACAACCUGUCAAAACCGACAAACCGACACUACUAUCCCCCGUCGCCGUCGCCGUCGUGCAAUGAGUGCUCGGAGUCGGAGGAGAUCAUCCUCGCCUUUAACAUCUUUUUUGGCAAAGCUGUCUACAGUUUCAACAAUUACUCUAUUGCUGCUUUGUAUCGCUUUUAUUUCUGUAUUAGCACUUGCAUUUGCGCUUCCCGAAUCAGAUCAGCAGCUUGAUGGAGGAGGAAGUAGUAGGGGCAAUGCUAGUGAAUUGAGCAGUGGACCUCGAAGUAGGCCUAAAGAGGAUAGUUUUGCUGAUAUGAUCGAUCGAGCUCUCGAAAAAGAGUUCACUGAAAAUGAUCAAACCGAAGUUAAUGAUGCGGGCAGCUUCAAUAAUAGUGUGGCCGAGCAGCAGGCAGUGUUGGAGACUGUGGCUAGAGUUAAGCCCAAGAAAAAUGACACAAAGAAAGAGGACAAAUCCUUUCAACUUCACCAUGUUUUCAAGCUUGAUAAUGAUCAAGGAGCAGAAGAAACCCCAACUUUGAUAGAUAGGAAGGACAAUGUCUUCAUCAUAUCUAAUUUCAAGUCCAAGUAUCCAGUGUUACAGUUAGAUUUGAGGUUGAUAUCAGAUCUGGUAGUGGUCAUUGUUUCUGCAACAUGUGGUGGAAUUGCUUUUGCUUGUGCUGGUCAACCGGUUUUAACUGGAUACUUACUAGCAGGAUCUGUCGUUGGACCUGGAGGCUUCAAUGUUGUUAGUGAAAUGGUGCAAGUUGAGACAGUGGCUCAGUUCGGUGUAAUUUUUCUUCUUUUUGCUUUGGGGCUGGAGUUCUCAACAGCAAAGCUUCGUGUUGUUCGAGCAGUUGCAGUUCUUGGAGGACUGCUUCAAGUUAUGCUUUUUAUGUGUCUCUGUGGAAUUACAGCUUUGUUGUGUGGCGGUAAAUCUUCAGAGGGUGUAUUUGUUGGAGCAUUUCUCUCAAUGUCUUCUACAGCAGUGGUGUUGAAGUUUUUGAUGGAAAAGAAUAGUACAAAUGCCCUUCAUGGCCAGGUUACAAUUGGCACACUUAUUUUGCAGGUGCUUUCUCAUUCUUUCAGGAUUGUGCUGUAGGCCUGCUGUUUGCUUUGCUUCCAAUCUUGGGAGGCACUUCCAAUUUUGUGCAAGGGUUAAUAUCGAUGACGAAGUCGUAAGUUUUCAUACUUGACUUCUUGAACCACUUCUUAUUUCCUCUCUGUACAUGCUUUGGUGCAGGUCAACUUUCUUUGUAAGAACUAGUUGAGUUCUGUUUGCUUUCCCUCGGUUUGGAAUCUUCUUCAUGGAAGGAAAAGAGUGUUCUCGAACAUAUUUUAGGCUCUGUCUCUUGAGAACUGAAGAUAGGCUUUUAUUGUGUUAGAAGCUGAUCAAUCUUGCAACUGACCUCUUUUCAAAGCUCAUUUGCUGCAUGAAAAAUGUCCAUUCUAUGCUAUCAUGUCAUGUAUGUUUAGGCAUACAUUUUAUAACCAGAUCUUGCCUAGAGGCAUCUGUUCAUUUUUGUAGAUUUAGCAAUCUGACUGUUGAUUUCUUUUAUCCUGAGCUUUCCCACUCGGGAUGUUGCAGGGGCGUCUAUCUGUCAAAUCUUGCUCUUGAGUUCUGAAUUUAGGUUUUAACUUCUUAGGAGUUCAUUUGGCCCUCUAGAAUAUCGUAACUAACUUAUAUGAGUUUAGUCUCUGUAUGACUAAGUCACUUGAGGAGGGAGGUGGAUUGUUCUUUUUAAAAACCAGGUAUGUUGAAGAUAGAAGAUAGAGGCCCAAUUAAAUUAUGCACAAUGAAAGCUGGAUACCCAAAGAAGUUAUUGAAUCAGUGGUGAACAAGUUAGUGCCUGCUGAUACUUUAUAAUUUUGCAAGGCAAGGAAGCUGCACUUGUCCAUCUAAAUGAUGAUGACAUAGAUAUGCAUGUAUAGUUAAUAUCAGAGUUUAGCAACCUCUUAAUUUAAUUUAAGUGAGAAUUCUCUUUUCAGCAGAUGAACUUACUAAAGAAGAUCAGUUUUCACGAGAGUCUUCUCAAUAAAGAUUAGUGGAAGUUAAAAAUUGAUGGGUGGAGGGUUGAUGGUCAUAUCCCUACCAUAGGUUAUGCAAGAAGAUCUUUAAUUGGGUCAAAUGUGAAAGACAUAUAUUUGUUAUGAUGGAGCAGAAAGAGUAAAUCAUCAACGGACCUGUGGGAAGCCAGGUUGGUCGUGUUGCUCUCAUUUUUGGCUAUUUUGUCAAUGUUAUCACGGACAUGUGUGCCAUGGUUCCUGAAGCUGAUGAUAAGCUUAUCAUCACAG